rnacentral:rRNA from 1 species
AUGGCCGAAUGCUUCAAUAGGGUGCUCAAAGGUGCACGUGGAUUACCCGUGACAGCAAUAGUUCAAUACACAUUUGACAAGAUGAAUGCGUACUUUGUAAAGUACUCGAUGGAAACCGAUGCACAGAUAGCGGGUGAGAACCCACGGAAGUACAAGUACAAGUUCCCACCCAAAGUUGAUGAAUGGUUGGUAUUUCAAUCACGGAAGGCGGACUCAUAAGAAGCUAUAUUACAUGACAACGAAGAGUGGAAGUACGAAGUGAAAGAGCCAGGAGGAACCACAAACGAUGGCCGGCAACAUGGAGGUCGGGCUUUCAAGGUGUCAUUAACACAAUGUGAUUACACUUGUGGGAGGCCAUUGUUGCUUCAUCUCCCAUGCUCACACUUGUAUACCGCCGGUCGCGUUAGGAAUGUGGACAUCAAUCACCCACACACCGUGAGGGAGUCGGAGUUCUCGAUCACGACGGUCAAGAAAACAUGGGCUCCCCGCUUUCACCCAUACUUUGACCAACCACAAUGGCCGGAGUAUCAUGGAGUUCAACUAUGGCCGGAUCCG